UUAUAAAACCCUAACAAUUCCCUCUCUCAAUUCCUCUCUCAUGCCGUCUCUUCUUUCAGUUGUUGGCAAGAAUUCCAGUCUUCUUCCUUCUCCCAUUAUAAUACCCUAAAUCUUCUGACUCUCCAAUCCCUCUUCUCGUCCCACACCAUUCAGAGAAGAUGAAGUUAUUGUCAUGGUUGGGUCUCCAUCCUCACGCUUGCCCCUCUCCACUAAAAUUCUUCAUCUUCCUCUAAUUUUGAGCCUUUUGUAACCCUAAUUUAGUAUGUUUUGGGUCCUGCCGUCUUCAAUGUACGCUCACUUCCUUACUAUUUAUACAAUUCCUAUUCCCUUCUUCCUUCGAAAACUCUUAAUUGACAGUAUUAGGCUUUUGUUCACGGUGAAGAUGUCAGUUUCAAUAAGUUAGAGGGGGAGAUUUCAAGAGACAAUGCAAGAAAUUUGAAACUGUGUUCGUUACUAACAACAAGCUGAGUGGAAAUAUACCUGAUACAAUCUUGAAGGAUGGAAGCAACAUCUAAUUUCUUCAUUUGUUGCCAUCAUUGACAACUUAAAAGAUGCUUGCUAGUGUACACGUACAAUGGGGCUCGAGGAGCACAAAGGCCCAUGACUAGACAUUUUAAUGUCACGGUGACAGAUAAUAGCUUGGAGAUUAGAUUUCACUGGGCUAGCAGAGGGACUGCACGAAUUCCUUAUAGAGGAGACUAUGGUUCCCAAGUAUCCGCUAUUUCGGUCAAUCCAUAUUUCAAAAUUUGUUCAACCGGAAGCAAAAAGAAUAUACACGCUUAUAUAAUAGUUGGAGUUCUAUCAUCUUUUGCUAUUUUCAUGAUACUUGGCAUCCUUUGGAGGAGGAGGAGGAUUCGUCGUCGUUUUGAUACACGCGUUCCCAUAAGUGUUGGAGUAGAUCCUAUCCUGAACAUGGUGAUCUUUAUGUUAUAUCUUGGUUACUUGAUUUGUCCCUUCGUCUCCAAUGCCAUUUUUCACAUUUUAAUCCCUGCUCAUUUUUAGUUAGAUGGUGUUGUAUCACACUUUAAUGUUCAAGUGUAUUGAUUCAAAAAUGUGUGGCUCAAUUCAAUGAA